rnacentral:tRNA from 1 species
AAUCUUAUAUUUUAAAAAAAAAUAUUAAAUUGCAAAUUUAAAGAUAAAUAUAAAUAAAAUUUUAAGAUUU